rnacentral:rRNA from 1 species
GGCCGCCCCGCGAGGGACGGCGCCGCCCCGGGGCUCGUGAUAUCUCAUCUCGCCGCCCGUCGCGAGGCGGACGGAGGGAUGGAUGAGGUUACCUGGAAAAAUCGGGGCGAUCUAGGCGGGCGAACCUCGCCAACGAACGAUCGGACAUGGGAUAACGGAAGAGGGCGUCGGCUCGACUUCGUCGGUUCCUCGGGCCGAGGCACGUACGGUGAAUAGGGACGGUCGGGGCCGCCCGUACCGGGUCGUGAGAGGUGAAAUUCUAGGAUCGACCCGAGACGAACCGCCGCGAAAGCAUUCGGCAAGGACGCUUUCAUUAAUCAAGAACGAAAGUCGGGGGAUCGAAGACGAUCAGAUACCGUCGUAGUCCCGACCGUAAACGAUGCCGACCGAGGGCCCGGAGGAGUUACGUACGACCCUCCGGGCCCUCCCGCGAGAAAUCAGGAGUAUUCGGGUUCCGGGGGGAGGUAGUGGUCGCAAGGCCGAACUUAAAGGAAUUGACGGAAGGGCGACCACCAGGAGUGGAAUCUGCGGCUUAAUUUGACUCAACGCGGG